rnacentral:lncRNA from 1 species
AAAAUGCAAAAUAUCUCUGCACAUUUUGCCAAUUUCAGAGGGAGACUCAGAGAUGCUAUUGAAAAACAAGUAAAGGGAGACCAAAUUCAAGACUGCAAAGCUUCUGUAAGGCAAAGGACACUGUGGUUAGGACAAAACUGCAACCAACAGAUUGGGAAAAGAUCUUUACCAAUCCUACAACAGAUAGAGGCCUUAUAUCCAAAAUAUACAAAGAACUCAAGAAGUUAGACCGCAGGGAGACAAAUAACCCUAUUAAAAAAUGGGGUUCAGAGCUAAACAAAGAAUUUACAGCUGAGGAAUGCUGAAUGGCUGAGAAACACCUAAAGAAAUGUUCAAUAUCUUUAGUCAUAAGGGAAAUGCUAAUCAAAAAACCCUGAUAUUUCAUCUCACACCAGUGAGAAUGGCUAAGAUCAAAAACUCAGGUGACAGCAGAUGCUGGCGAGGAUGUGGAGAAAGAGGAACACUCCUCUAUUGUUGGUGGGAUUGCAGACUGGUACAACCACCCAGGAAAUCAGUCUGGAGGUUCCUCAGAAAAUUGGACAUUAGCAACCUGAGGACACAGCUAUACCUCUCUUGGGCAUAUACCCAAACAGUGCUUCAACAUAUAACAAAAAGUGCUCCACUAUGUUCAUAGCAGCCUUAUUUAUAAUAGUCAGAAGCUGGAAAGAGUCCAGAUGCCCUUCAUAGAGGAAUGGAUACAGAAAAUGUGGUACAUCUACACAAUGGA